UGGACAUGGGGUAUUGGGUCUUGUUCUCCCACCCUGUUUUCUCAUUCUGUCUCUAUGCCAACAUUUAGCUUUCAGAUGCCCUACUUCACCACAUUGAAAGCAUGUUGGCUCUUUCUAUCAUUGUGAAGCAGAAUUCACAAGUAUUGCAUUGUUCACCCGCCAAUAGGGAACUUGAGCUGGGUUUAGACCAUUGUGAGAUAGGUUAGUUAUACCCUACUGAUGAUGGGUUGUCACCAUAGUAAUCCUGCUAAGUACGAGAGGAACUGUAGGUUCAGACAUUUUGUGUAUUUCUGCAUCAUAGCCUGGCUAUAAAAGGCAUUUGUGCCUACUGUGGCACAGCAUCUUUUGAUCUCCUCUAAAGGAGCAUCCUUUCAUAGUCCUAGUAUAAUUCUUCUACAAACCUCAUUAGCAUUU
rnacentral:ncRNA from 1 species